rnacentral:rRNA from 1 species
AUUGAACGCUGGCGGCAUGCCUUACACAUGCAAGUCGAACGGUAACAGGUCUUCGGAUGCUGACGAGUGGCGAACGGGUGAGUAAUACAUCGGAACGUGCCUAGUAGUGGGGGAUAACUACUCGAAAGAGUGGCUAAUACCGCAUGAGAUCUACGGAUGAAAGCAGGGGAUCGCAAGACCUUGUGCUACUAGAGCGGCCGAUGGCAGAUUAGGUAGUUGGUGGGAUAAAAGCUUACCAAGCCGACGAUCUGUAGCUGGUCUGAGAGGACGAUCAGCAACACUGGGAAGGAGACACGGCCCAGACUCCUACGGGAGGCAGCAGUGGGGAAUUUUGGACAAUGGGCGCAAGCCUGAUCCAGCAAUGCCGCGUGCAGGAUGAAGGCCUUCGGGUUGUAAACUGCUUUUGUACGGAACGAAAAGCCCUGGGUUAAUACCCUGGGGUCAUGACGGUACCGUAAGAAUAAGCACCGGCUAACUACGUGCCAGCCGCCGCGGUAA